UACAAACUAGACUCAGCCUCUUUGUGU
rnacentral:piRNA from 1 species